rnacentral:tRNA from 1 species
GGGGGAUAGCUCAGUAUAGAGCACAUGCUCAGCAUGCAGGAGGUCCUGGGUUCAAUCCCCAGUACCUCCU